CGAUCAAAAGGAACAAGUAUCAAGCACGCAGCAAUGCAGCUCAAAACGCUUAGCCUAGCCACACCCCCAUGGGAGACAGCAGUGAUAAACCUUUAGCAAUAAACGAAAGUUUAACUAAGCUAUACUAACUCCAGGGUUGGUCAAUUUCGUGCCAGCCACCGCGGUCACACGAUUAACCCAAGUCAAUAGAAACCGGCGUAAAGAGUGUUUUUAGAUCACCCC
rnacentral:lncRNA from 1 species